ACCAAUGGUUGUGGACUUGUGGU
rnacentral:siRNA from 1 species